CAUAGGGGUGCCGAAAGGCUGAGAUCAUACCCUCGAACCUGAUCCGGGUAAUGCCGGCGUAGGAAAUCGUUUAU
rnacentral:ncRNA from 1 species